rnacentral:rRNA from 1 species
UCGGGAAUUUUGGGCAAUGGGCGAAAGCCUGACCCAGCAACGCCGCGUGAAGGAUGAAGUAUUUCGGUAUGUAAACUUCGAAAGAAUAGGAAGAAUAAAUGACGGUACUAUUUAUAAGGUCCGGCUAACUACGUGCCAGCAGCCGCGGUAAUACGAAGGGGGCUAGCGUUGUUCGGAAUUACUGGGCGUAAAGCGUGCGCAGGCGGUCUUGCAAGACAGAUGUGAAAUCCCCGGGCUUAACCUGGGAACUGCAUUUGUGACUGCAAGGCUGGAGUACGGCAGAGGGGGAUGGAAUUCCGCGUGUAGCAGUGAAAUGCGUAGAUAUGCGGAGGAACACCGAUGGCGAAGGCAAUCCCCUGGGCCUGUACUGACGCUCAUGCACGAAAGCGUGGGGAGCAAACAGGAUUAGAUACCCCAGUAGUCCCUGAGCGGGCUGGCAAGGCGCAU